rnacentral:tRNA from 1 species
AGGAAUUUAGGUUAACCAGACCAAUAGCCUUCAAAGCUUUAAGCAAGUAAUCAAAUACUUAAUUCCUG